rnacentral:rRNA from 1 species
AACGAACGCUGGCGGCAUGCCUAACACAUGCAAGUCGAACGAGACCGUCGGGUCUAGUGGCGCACGUGUGCGUACCGACGGGGAACCUACCCUUAGGUUCGGUAUCACUCCCCGAAAGGGGUGCUAAUACCGGAUAAUGUCUUCGGGCCAAAGAUUUAUCGCCUUGGGAUGGGCGCGCGUCGGAUUAGCUGGUUGGUAGGGUAAAAGCCGGCCAACGCGACGAUGCAUAGCUGGUCGGUUAGGAAGGUCAGCCACGCUGGGGCUGCGACCCGGCCCAGAACCGUACGGAGGGGAGCAGUGUAGUACAUUGUACGCGGGGCGAAGGCGUGAUCCAGCAACGCGGGGUGAGAGAUGCAGGGGGUUGUGUUGUAAAGCCCUUUUAGCCGGGACGAUAAUGACAGUACCGGGUGAAUAAGCACCGGCUAACUCCGUG